UAGCAUAUCAAUAAGCGGAGGAAAGAACCAACAGGGAUUGCCUCAGUAACGGCGAGUGAAGCGGCAACAGCUCAAAUUGAAAUCUGGCUCACGCCCGAGUUGUAAUUUGUAGAGGAUGCUUCGGGUGAAGCCACGGUCCAAGUCCCUUGGAACAGGACGUCAUAGAGGGUGAGAACCCCGUACCUGGCGUCGGUGCCCCCCGCUGUGAAGCUCCUUUCGACGAGUCGAGUUGUUUGGGAAUGCAGCUCUAAAUUGGUGGUAAAUUCCAUCUAAAGCUAAAUACCGGCCAGAGACCGAUAGCGCACAAGUAGAGUGAUCGAAAGAUGAAAAGCACUUUGAAAAGAGAGUUAAAAAGUACGUGAAAUUGUUGAAAGGGAAGCGCUUGCGGCCAGACUUGCCCGCGGUUGCUCAGCCCGCCCUUUGGCGGGUGCACUCUUCCGCGGUCAGGCCAGCAUCGGUUUGGGCGGUCGGAUAAAGGCGUUGGGAACGUGGCCUCCCCUCGGGGAGGUGUUAUAGCCCGGCGCGCAAUGCGACCAGCCUGGACCGAGGUUCGCGCUCUGCUAGGAUGCUGGCGUAAUGGCCGUAAGCGGCCCGUCUUGAAACACGGACCAAGGAGUCUAACAUCUAUGCGAGUGUUUGGGUGUCAAACCCGUGCGCGUAAUGAAAGUGAACGGAGGUGGGAACCGUAAGGUGCACCAUCGACCGAUCCUGAUGUCUUCGGAAGGAUUUGAGUAAGAGCAUAGCUGUUGGGACCCGAAAGAUGGUGAACUAUGCGUGAAUAGGGUGAAGCCAGAGGAAACUCUGGUGGAGGCUCGCAGCGGUUCUGACGUGCAAAUCGAUCGUCAAAUUUGCGUAUAGGGGCGAAAGACUAAU
rnacentral:rRNA from 1 species